rnacentral:rRNA from 1 species
UACGGAGGGUGCGAGCGUUGUCCGGAAUCAUUGGGCGUAAAGGGCGCGUAGGCGGCCCGGUCAGUCUUUGGUGAAAGCGCGGGGCUCAACCCUGCGUCGGCCAGGGAUACUGCCGCGGCUCGAGCACUGUAGAGGCAGGCGGAAUUCCGGGUGUAGCGGUGGAAUGCGUAGAUAUCGAGAGGAACACCUGCGGCGAAGGCGGGUUGCUGGGCUGACACUGACGCUGACAGCGCGAAAGCUAGGGGAGCGAACGGG